UUCUAGAUCCAAACCUUCUCAGGAUUUCCUACCUUACUCCCCACAAUAGGUUCUGGUUGAAGAAGGAAGCACUUUUUCAAGGAAGCAUCUUUUGGAAAUGGCAGCCUAUAACCAAAGAAAUGGACCAGGUCUUCCAUAGGACACCUAAGAAACAGGAGGACAGACCUGGGUUUCAAUCCUGACUGGGUGACCUUCGGGGUCGAAGUCUGAGAGAGGAAGGGACAUGAAGAGAGUGGGUUCAGGAAGAGCACAGCGAUAAAUCCAGUGGCCCCAGCAAUGGCAGUAGGAAGGAAAUGUGACAAUUUCUUAAGGCGAACAAUGAUUAGCUUCGAACUAAAAGACAGCACUCUGCGCAGGCUCAGGCUACUCAUCAUGUUUCUACCCUCAAGCACAGUGUGUGGGCCAGUGGAAGCAGGUCCCACCUGAAUCCUGAUGUGAGUACAAGCUGAGCUGGCUCCUGACACCUUUCCCUGAUCAGGGUGAAGUCAAAAGGAGGCCCCCUUCCAGUUUAUACAAGGCUUCUUCAUGGGAGAGUAGAAGGCAACUCUGAACCUAAAAAAUACCCAACAGAGGGAAAAGUGGCCAGACUCCAGCUUGGUCUCCACUGAUCUGGAAAGGUCUUAUCUGAUGUGUUCUCUCAGCAACUGGCUGAAGCCAUCGCAUCCCAGGGUGAAAAAUUCCCUCUGGGUAAAAACCAUACAGAAGAAGAGGGGCACAAAGCCAAGACUUGCUGCACAAAAGCAGAGGGACUGUCUGAUUUAUUCAUUGCUCUGAUAAGAACAGUGCCUAACAUUCAGUAGGGGCUCAAACCACAUUCACUGAAUGAAUGAAUGAAUGAAAAAAAAAAAAAUCUUUACUUUCCAGACACCUUUACAAUAAGAUUAUAUCCAUGGGGAGAAAAGGCAAAUGAGCAGUCUGGAUUUACAGAAAACUCAAAAUAAAGAUUAAAUAAGCACAA